rnacentral:rRNA from 1 species
AACGCCGCGUGAGUGAUGAAGGCCUUCGGGUCGUAAACUCUGUCCUUAGGGAAGAACAUCCCAGUUGAUAAUACCAGCUGGGCUUGACGGUACCUUUGGAGGAAGCCUCGGCUAAUUACGUGCCAGCACCUUCGGUGACUGAGCGGGCUGGCAAGGCGCAUA